UGGGGAAUAUUGCACAAUGGGCGCAAGCCUGAUGCAGCCAUGCCGCGUGUGUGAAGAAGGCCUUCGGGUUGUAAAGCACUUUCAGCGGGGAGGAAGGCGAUAAGGUUAAUAACCUUGUCGAUUGACGUUACCCGCAGAAGAAGCACCGGCUAACUCCGUGCCAGCAGCCGCGGUAAUACGGAGGGUGCAAGCGUUAAUCGGAAUUACUGGGCGUAAAGCGCACGCAGGCGGUUGAUUGAGUCAGAUGUGAAAUCCCCGGGCUUAACCCGGGAAUUGCAUCUGAUACUGGUCAGCUAGAGUCUUGUAGAGGGGGGUAGAAUUCCAUGUGUAGCGGUGAAAUGCGUAGAGAUGUGGAGGAAUACCGGUGGCGAGGGCGGCCCCCUGGACAAAGACUGACGCUCAGGUGCGAAAGCGUGGGGAGCAAACAGG
rnacentral:rRNA from 1 species